GAUGAACGCUGGCGGCGUGCCUAAUACAUGCAAGUCGAGCGAACAGACGAGGAGCUUGCUCCUUUGACGUUAGCGGCGGACGGGUGUGUAACACGUGGGUAACCUACCUAUAAGACUGGGAUAACUUCGGGAAACCGGAGCUAAUACCGGAUAAUAUUUCGAACCGCAUGGUUCGAUAGUGAAAGAUGGCUCUGCUAUCACUUAUAGAUGGACCUGCGCCGUAUUAGCUAGUUGGUAAGGUAACGGCUUACCAAGGCAACGAUACGUAGCCGACCUGAGAGGGUGAUCGGCCACACUGGAACUGAGACACGGUCCAGACUCCUACGGGAGGCAGCAGUAGGGAAUCUUCCGCAAUGGGCGAAAGCCUGACGGAGCAACGCCGCGUGAGUGAUGAAGGUCUUCGGAUCGUAAAACUCUGUUAUUAGGGAAGAACAAACGUGUAAGUAACUGUGCACGUCUUGACGGUACCUAAUCAGAAAGCCACGGCUAACUACGUG
rnacentral:rRNA from 1 species